CCUAUAUAAUUCUGUAUUUCUUUACUUCUCUAUAUAUAUAUAUAUGCAGUGCGGCCCCAUUAUAGCGUGAUCUUACAGUGACCACUUACAGAUAGGAAAUUAGUGUUGUUUGUAUUACAUGGAACUUGUCUGAGAGCGCCGACUUACACAUAAUGACGGCUUGAAAAUGACGACUUAAGCCUAGCGCAGACUUGCGACUUUUUCAUGCAACUUGGCUGCGAUUCUAGAGUCCCGCGUCUACAUUUGCUGUCUGGCAACUUGCACGCUAGCCAAUCAGAUUUUCCUGCCUGUUGAGAUUAAAAAUGUGCAUAUUUUCCCAGUAUUAUAAAGCACACGUAACAUUUUCUUACAGGAUGAACCCACUUAUGGAAUGUAAUGUGUCCGAGAUGUUCAAGCGAGGAGGAAAAGAUAAAAUGGGCGAGGCCCGAAAAGUUUUUCUCGUAAGAAUCAUACACUCAUUUACCAUACGACGUACUGUUUUGCCCAUACUUGAAAUACUUAUAAAUUAGCAUUUAUUUCACACUCUAUUUUGAAAACCUAAAUCAAAAAAUGAUUUGAACAAUAGAGUGCACUUUAUCUAGCACAUUGUUACUGAAUUUCAGCGAGAAUUGCACAGCCAAUUGGAGUUACAUGGGAGUAACAAGGGAGGAAUAAAUAAAGCGGUGGCCCGUCUCCAUGAACUUAUUGGAGACCCUGCCCUACCAGAAGGAGCAGUGCUCCAUGAAGUGAAGAGGGUACUAAAAAAUAAAAAAGAUUAUAGGAGAAAGAACAACAAAAAACUGCAGCAGCAGCAACAGCAACAGCAACA